UACGUAGGGUGCAAGCGUUGUCCGGAAUUAUUGGGCGUAAAGAGCUCGUAGGCGGUUUGUCGCGUCGGCUGUGAAAACCUGGGGCUCAACCCCGGGCCUGCAGCCGAUACGGGCAAACUAGAAUUCGGUAGGGGAGACUGGAAUUCCUGGUGUAGCGGUGAAAUGCGCAGAUAUCAGGAGGAACACCGGUGGCGAAGGCGGGUCUCUGGGCAGAUAUUGACGCUGAGGAGCGAAAGCGUGGGGAGCGAACAGG
rnacentral:rRNA from 1 species